UGAUCCCAUGACCCUGGAAUCAUGACCUGAGCCGAAAUCAAGAGUCAGAUGCUCAACUGACUGAGCCUGUUUUUUGAUUUUUUGUCAUGUUUAGAAGACCAUAUGAAUCCCAGGAAAGGGCUGAAUCUGUAGUAGGUGCUCAAUAAAUACAUGGCUCUAAUUCUUUUGUCUGCAGCAUCCCCAAGCAGUGUACCCAUUGUGGGUUGCCAGAGCUCACUAAUGUAAUCUCCAGGCAUUAUUUUCUGUUUGUGGUUGCUUUACCAAAGUCUAACCCAGAUCCCCACCUCAGAUCUAAUUUCCAGACCCACUGUCUCUGCUACCCACUUCCCUUUGGGUUCUGUGAAUACUUAAAUCUGAUGUAACUUUUUUGUCAUAGAGUGGCCAUUUGAAUUCUGGAUGUUUUCAGUAAGUUCAGCAGUAGUUACUGAAUGCCCAUUUUUUUACUAGGCACAGUUCUAGGUGUUUGGGGUAUGGCACUGAAAAAGCAAAAAAGCUGCUGUGAGCCUAUAGUCUGUUCUGGGUUGGGGUCAAAAGGUCAAAACCUUCCCACAAAGGUUUUGCCAGAUUUAGCAAUGCUGCCUGUGGAGCUAGUAUGUUGGAUGUGUUUUCAUAUUCCUCAAACAAAGAGCCUGUAGGCCAGGACUGGAUCCACUGCAAGAUAUGAAGCUGGAAUUUCACACCUUGAGGACCUGGGGUCUGGGAGGACCAGAGGGUCCUCCAUCUAUUUACCACCCCUUAGGGUGUAGGGACCAGCUCUUUCGAGGGGCCUUCAAGGGCAUCUCUAGGCAAGUUUGGGCCCUCACAGCAUGGAAGGCAGGCCCUUAAGAACCCCCUCUGAACUACCUAAGACGACCACAGUUCUAUGCAGGCAGUCACCUGGGCGACCACUGAGGGAGCUUCAGGUGACACUACUUCAGCCCGGGUAGGCACAGCCAAAUGUUUCUGAAGUGAGCAUUGACACCAAACUUAACCUAGUUGGUGGGUGAUAGUGGGCAGAUUUUCAGGACAUGUGCCUUUGUGAGUUUAUGCCUAGCUGUGAGGACUCUCCUGACCUUGUAGCUCUUCUUGGAUCCUCACCUCCUUACGCAGGCUUCUCCCUGUGCUGCCCUGGCUCUCAGGAGCUGAUUGUGUGUGUCUGUUCCUAAUUCUACAUUCAGCGACGUCAUGUUUGGUAGUCUGAAAUCAGUCACGGUGGGAUUAUUUAUACCAUGGAAAUUGGCAAAAUGCCACAAAUCAGAGCCCUCGCCCCUGCUGGGAUAGCCAGUUAAAAUAUUUACCAAAACAUCACUGGCACCUCCCAACAUGGUUGAUUCCGAAGGCCUUGUCACUCCAGGUCUUCCCAGUUUCUGGUGAAAAAGCCACUGGUCAGGCCAAGGGUGCUGUCUCCUUCCUGGUUCUCUAGAAUUGCUCCAGGAUGGUAGUGGUGUGUGUGCAGAGGCAGAACGUCCCUCCCCACUACUCUAGGCCACACUUAGUCAUCUUUGGAAUCACUGACACUUUAAGAAUCUCCAGUUUCUCAACAAAAUGGCUGCUGACCAUCAGUCCCGUAGCCAUAGGGGCCUAGGCCUAAUCCCAGAGGUCCAGGGAGAAGACAGAAGCUACACCACCCGCUGCAUCCCCACUUCUUUAAUGACCUGCGUUCUCAUAGCCAUUGAAUGCAGUUGGAUGCUUGGUGGAGGACAGGGAUAUAAUCAACAGCAGCAGAGUCUCAGUCCUCAGCAGGGCCAUCAGUCAGUAUGCCCCAUCAUGCUUACUCAAGCCAUCUUCCUACAGGAGUCCUUUAACAGUGAUUGGGAAUAGGCAACGUGGCUGGGGUACUGGGCAUCUCUCCAGGGCUGGAGCCUUGUUGCUGGGUGGUAUGAACUGCACUUCAUCCUGAGCCACACGAAUCUGGAUAUUAGUCCUCCCUCUUGGGAUUAUAAGCCAGCUUUGGUUUCUUGCAGCACGGGCACAGGUUGUCCUAGGUAGCAUCCUAAUGAUUUUUGGAAGAAUCCUUCCCAGGCAUGGUGUGACUCUGGAGAUGGCAGUGCCCUUGACUCAGGCCACCAGGUACACCUUAAGGCCUGACCUUGUGAGCGGGCUGAUUUCCCAAUGAACGUCUCUAGUCAUGAGAUCUUGUCUCCAAGUGUGCAACCCUCACAGAGCCACAACGGCUAUCUUCCUACUUCCAUUUGAAGAACCUCCUCACCCUUCUGCAACAGGUCCUGAAAUUUGGGAAAUGGAAAACAGAAUCUCCAUUACCUCCCCUUCAGUUGCCUAAAUAUGAGGGGGCCAGAUUUUUCAUUUUCCCCUGCCCUUUUGGAGUUAUCUAACCCCUUCUAAGAAGUUAGCUUCUGAACCCCUGGGAUAGUUCUCAGCAUUCAUUCGUUCCACAAGUAUUUACUGAAUACCUACUACGUGCCAGGCACUGUGCUAGAUUCUAGCAUUACCACAGUCUCUGACUUUAUAGGACUUGUCCUAGAGAACAGACAGUAACAGGUGGUUAAGGUUUAAGUAGAAAUAGUACUGGGAACCAAGAGAACACAGAAAGGGGGCAGCCAGCUCAGACUAAGGACAUAGAAUGCUUUCUAGAGCAUUAGAUAUCUAAGCUAAGACCUGAAGGACAACUAGGGAUCACCAGGUUACGGAUGAGGAGAGGAGAGGAGAGGACUGGGGGUUGGGUGGAGAAGGAAGUAUUCUGGGUAGACAAGAGUGGGAAGCCAGGGAGGUGAGAGAGAGCAUGGCCUUCUUGCAGAAGUGAAACGCAUUCUGUGUGGCUGGAUUGUAGAGUUCCUAAAGAGAUGUAAUAAUAUAAGCUAACAAUAUCUCAAUAACAUGUGUUGAACAUUGUUACUAUCACUUUAGAGGAAUUAACUCUUGUAACAAAUCUGUUAUGAUUCCAUGUUAUAGAUGAGAAAAUGGAGGCAAUAAGAAGUUAACUCGCUUGCUUAAGGGCACACAAAUUAGUGGAAAGGAGAAAAUACGGCUGAAGUGAUCAGCCCCUAUUAUGGAGCUUUAUCCUAAGAACAGUGAGCAAUCAUUGGAGGUUAUAAUUGGGGGGAGUGACAUUUUCCUCUGUCUUGGGAAGAUCAGUUUGGUUGCUGUGUGGAGGGUAGGUUAGAGUGGGGAAGACAGAGGGUAUCCAGGGAGGCCAUUUAAGCAAUUCCAAUAAUCCACACAAGAGGUUAGACGGCCUGAAUUAAGUAAGGCAUUGGUAGUGUGGGUGGGGAGAAGUGGAAGAUUUCACAGAUAUUUAGCAGGUGUAUUGAGCAAGACUUCUGAUUGAUUGGAUGUGGGGAUGAGGGAGAUCCUGGAGUUAAGGGUGAUGACUGGGUUUCUGCCUUGGAAAUAACUCAGGAAGAGGAAAAUAUUUGGGGGAAGAUAUUAGUCAAGCAUGAAUUUAUUUUGGGGGGAUUGUUGAAUUUGAAAAUGCUGAAAAGAAAAUUGCAUGGAGUGACUACAGAGUCCCUACACAUGCUAAUUAUAUACUCCCCUCCAUGGACCACACACAUUUAAAUUUUUCUGCCACAUAAUCUUCUGGACAUUAUCUUCCAGAGCAAUGGUUGGAAGUCAUUAAAGUAGGCCUCGAUAGCUGCUUUGAGGAAUUCAACUGUUAUCAGGCGGAUUUGAGAAUUUAUCAUGAUACCCGAAGGCAAGAAGCAUACUACAUGAUAUCAGAGCUACAGCCAUUCCAACAUCCACUAAAUUGGCUGUCAAGAUAAAUAUUUACAAACUGGGAAACCAUAAGUGCUGGAGCAGAAGAGCUGUUGAUUUAAGACCUUUCACACACAGUUGUGGAAAAAUCCAUGUGUUAAGUGUACUCAAGUAAGCAUUGUGGUUGACACUUGUGACAAAAAUGCCCUAUCAAAUGAUCUUAUGAAAUUGCUACCCACAUCAGGACAUGAGACAGCUAUUGCUCUGGGAUGGACAACAUGAUGUGACUUAUGAGGACUUCAAGGCUUCUCAACAUAGAGCUGAGAGCUCAGAGGUGAGACCUGGCUAGUAAUACAAAUGUGUACAGAUGGUUACUGGGAUCAUAAGAGAGAAUAAAAUCCCCCAGGGAGAGUAGGCUGAAGGGGAAAAUACCCCAAACAGAACGCUGAGGACCACUGACAUACAAGGGGAGCCACCUACAGAGACCAAGAAAGGGUAGUAGGCAAAAUGUAGGAGAAGUAAAUGGUGACGUAUCUCAGAGGGCAAAUGUGAUGGUUCAUUUUGUGUGUCAACUUGAUUGGACCACGAGGUACCAGACAUUCAGUCAAACACUAUUCUGAGUGCCUGUGAGAGUGCUUCUGGAUGAAGUUAACAUUUGAAUCAGUGCACUGGAUGAAUAAAGCAGAUUGCCCUGUCCAAUGUGGGAAUCCUCAUCAAAUCAGCUGAAUAGAACAAAACGCUGACCUGGUAAGGGAGAAGGACUUUCUCCUGCUGUACUUCCUUGAGCUGGGACAUGGGUUUUCUUUUCCUGCCUUUGGACUCAGACUGAAACAUCAGCCCUUCCUGGGUCUCUAGCCUGCAGGCCUUCAGACUGGAAUUACACUGUCAGCUGUCUUGAGUCUCCAGCUUGCCAACAGCAGACCUUGGGAUUUGUCAGCCUCCAUAAUCACAUGAGCUAUUUCCUUAUACUCAAUCAAUCAAUCAAUCAAUUUAUCUAUCUGCCUGCCUGCCUACCUACCUACCUAUAUCCUAUUGUUGGCUCUGUUACUCUGGAGAACACUGACUAGUACAGCAAGGCAACAUUUCAGGAAUUUGGGAGUGGUUAACAGGGCUAAAGGUUGCUGUUGGUCAAGUAAGAUAAGAACUGAAAAUAUCAAUGGGUUUAGCAACUAGGAGGUCAUUGGAAGAGCAGUUUUAUUGACGUGGUGGGGGCAAAACAACCAUUUGCUCUGCAUUAGGAAGUGAGUGAGAAAUAUUUCAAGGGAAGAAGAAGAAAAAAGGAUGCAGUUGGAGAGAAAAGUCUGAAAAUAUGGUAGAGAGAAGUUGAGGGCUUUUUCUAAUGAUGGUUUUGAUGUAUUUCAUGAAGUUGGAAAGGAUCUUCUCUGACUAGAGUGAAGGAAAGGGGAAGUGUUGAGAUUGGAUAUUGGAAGAAGAUGGAGAAGAUUUGAAAUAACUGCUGGGCUGUGUGUGGACAAGGCAUGUGCCUGGAUGUCUUGUGGCACCAGUAGGUACUUUUGUGUGGUUUUAGCCUGGCAUGGCUCAGCUUCCUCUGUCUGGAGAAAAUGGAGCUGCAUGGAUUCAGGGUUGGGAUUUUGAUAAGACGGUGUCAUGGGGAUGAAGAGGGGAUGACCUUGGAUUCAAGACUGAUUGGAUGUGAAGGAAAGAGCUAGAAGUGAGAGAACUGGUGUGUGGAUUUAAUAUUUAAAGGCGGGAACAGUUCUACAACCAAACAUGGAUGUCCUCAUCCCAAAAUAAAAUGAUGGGCUUUGUCCUAUGAGCACUCUCCUUUAUGGAAAUAAUCUUGGAUGUUUUUCUUAAAUAUAAUAUUUUUAUUUAUAAAAUAGUUUAUUGCCAUUAUAUGUAUACAAUAAAUUUAAUAAUUAAGAAAUUUAUAAUUUAUGACAUAGAAAUUCAUUUAAGAACAGAUAACCCCAAAAUUUGUAUAGGACCA